AGGGAUCAUUACUGAGUGAGGGCCUUCGGGCUCGACCUCCAACCCUUUGUGAACACAACUUGUUGCUUCGGGGGCGACCCUGCCGUUUCGACGGCGAGCGCCCCCGGAGGCCUUCAAACACUGCAUCUUUGCGUCGGAGUUUAAGUAAAUUAAACAAAACUUUCAACAACGGAUCUCUUGGUUCUGGCAUCGAUGAAGAACGCAGCGAAAUGCGAUAAGUAAUGUGAAUUGCAGAAUUCAGUGAAUCAUCGAAUCUUUGAACGCACAUUGCGCCCCUUGGUAUUCCGAGGGGCAUGCCUGUUCGAGCGUCAUUUCACCACUCAAGCCUCGCUUGGUAUUGGGCGCCGCGGUGUUCCGCGCGCCUCAAAGUCUCCGGCUGAGCUGUCCGUCUCUAAGCGUUGUGAUUUCAUUAAUCGCUUCGGAGCGCGGGCGGUCGCGGCCGUUAAAUCUUUCACAAGGUUGACCUCGGAUCAGGUAGGGAUACCCGCUGAACUUAAGCA
rnacentral:rRNA from 1 species